UCAGACGAUGCGUCAUGCAUAUCAAUAAGCGGAGGAAAAGAAACUAGCAAGGAUUCCCCUAGUAACGGCGAGUGAAGCGGGAAGAGCUCAAAUUUGAAAUCUUAAAGGGUUUCCCUUUACGAAUUGUAGUUUAAAGAAGUGUUUUCUGUUGAGGUUUUGGUAAAAGUUCUUUGGAAUAGGACAUCAUAGAGGGUGAGAAUCCCGUAUUUGACCUUUACUUUCAACUUUGUGAUACACUUUCAAAGAGUCGGAUUGUUUGGGAAUGCAGUCCAAAAUGGGUGGUAAAUUUCAUCUAAAGCUAAAUAUUGGCGAGAGACCGAUAGCGAACAAGUACCGUGAGGGAAAGAUGAAAAGAACUUUGAAAAGAGAGUUAAACAGUACGUGAAAUUGUCAAAAGGGAAGCGUUUGACACCAGUGUUGUUUUUCUGAAAAUCAAUUAAAGAACUGUUUAUGCUAAGCUGUUUAGACUUUAUCAGCUAUCUGUUUAGUUUUAGGCUUUUCUUUAAUGCACUUUUCAGUUAACAAGUCAACAUCAAUUUCUUUUGCUGUAAAAAAGCUUGAGGAAGGUGGCUUGAGAUUCGUCUUAAGUGUUUAUAGCCUCUUGCCUAUGCAGUCGGAGAGAUUGAGGUCUGCAGCGUAGAUCCUUCGGGGCUAAAUGCAUUUGUGCUAAGUUAUAGCAUUUUAUAGACAACUUGUUGACUAUGAUUUGUCUUGUAGCUUACUCGCUUAUGUUAUUUUACCUACGCUUAGGAUGUUGACACACGCGCGUGCUCG
rnacentral:rRNA from 1 species